CGUGUAGGCGGUCGGCCAAGUCUGAUGUGAAAGCCCGAGGCUCAGCCUCGGAAGUGCGUCGGAAACUAGUCGGCUGGAGCGCGAUAGAGGAGGGUGGAAUUCCUGGUGUAGCGGUGAAAUGCGUAGAUAUCAGGAGGAACACCGGCGGCGAAGGCGGCCCUCUGGAUCGUUGCUGACGCUGAGACGCGAAAGCGUGGGGAGCAAACAGGAUUAGAUACCCUGGUAGUCCACGCUGUAAACGAUGGGUACUAGGUGUUCGGGGUAUUGACCCCCUGAGUGCCGCAGCUAACGCAUUAAGUACCCCGCCUGGGGACUACGGCCGCAAGGUUAA
rnacentral:rRNA from 1 species